AUCGAUUAUCCUAUAUAGCAUAAUCGAUUAUUCACUGACUGUUGCCAAAGUUUUUUUAAACGCUGAAAGAUAAUCGAUUAUGCACAAGGCAAUCAUCGAUUAUGCUAGCAUAAAAUCAGCGUCUGAUUUUUGAACGUUAACAAGUAAUCGAUUAUGCAAAUUGAAUAAUCAAUUAUUCUAGCUUAAAAUCAGCAUAUGAUUUUUGAACGAUUUGCAGAUAAUCGAUUAUGCAAAUCAGAUAAUCGAUUAUUCUAGCACAAAAUCAGCAAUUAGUGAUUGGCAAUUAAGUAACGGUCUUGGUGUCUUUGAGGGCUAUAAAUACACCUCUAAAUCUCUCUUUUAAGCACAACAACUGAUUACAAUUCUCGCAUAAGCUUACAUACUCUCAUCUUAAUCAUUUCAUAUUUAUUUCAUAGUUUUUGAGAGCCAAAUUCUUGACGAAGUUGUUGUGUUCUUGAGCGUAUUAAUUUUACUCAUAUCUACUCCGUAAUUGAGUCUUUCUUGAGUGCUAAGUGUUUGUAUACACUUGAAGGGAAGUUCUAAUCCCUGUUGUUGUAAGAAGGAAAUGUUAGUUCCUUCACGUGAAGUCUUAAAGUGCGGUAUCUUCGAGCAAGCAUCGUGGAGACUUGUGUUCUCAGUUUGUAACGGUUUGUUAAGCAC
rnacentral:lncRNA from 1 species